rnacentral:rRNA from 1 species
CCUACGGGAGGCAGCAGUGGGGGAUAUUGCACAAUGGGGGGAACCCUGAUGCAGCGACGCAGCGUGGGUGAAGAAGGGCCUCGGCGCGUAAAGCCCUGUCAGCAGGGAAGAAAAUGACGGUACCUGAAGAAGAAGCCCCGGCUAACUACGUGCCAGCAGCCGCGGGAAUACGUAGGGGGCAAGCGUUAUCCGGAUUUAAUGGGUGUAAAGGGGGCGCAGACGGCGAUGCAAGCCAGGAGUGAAAGCCCGGGGCCCAACCCCGGGACUGCUCUUGGAACUGCGUGGCUGGAGUGCAGGAGGGGCAGGCGGAAUUCCUGGUGUAGCGGUGAAAUGCGUAGAUAUCAGGAGGAACACCGGUGGCGAAGGCGGCCUGCUGGACUGCAACUGACGUUGAGGCCCGAAAGCGUGGGGAGCAAACAGGAUUAGAUACCCCAGUAGUC